rnacentral:lncRNA from 1 species
UCAGAGAUCCCAGAAGACCCACUUGUGGCUGAAGAGUAUUAUACUGAUGCAUUUGAUUCCUGUUCUGAAGAAAGUGAGGAAGAGCAAGAAAAUGUGGUGUUCUCAGCGGGAGAGGAAGAGGUGCAGGAUGAGGGGUCCCAGCCUGCUUACAGGACAAACCAACAGGACAGUGAUAUUGAAGCACUGGCCAGGUGUUUAGAGCACGUCCUGGGCUGCACCUCUCUGGACACAAGGACCAUCACCAGCUCAGCUCCAGACACAUCCUCAGGACCAACAAUUUUCAACAGUGCAGUGGCCAGGACCAAAAUGAAACGCAUGAGAGAAUCAGCUGUGCAGAAGCUGGGGGCAGAGGUGUUUGAGGAGGUCUACACUUAUCUCAAGAGAGCAAGG